CCUUUCCUCCGGUUACUGAGCGCCUCCUACAUGCCAGGCGCACUACAGAAGCCUGGACUCAAACAAAGACCAAGAACUGUGGGCCCUGAGAAAAGCUUUUCUUUCUGGUCUGAAGAGCAGGAAGAGGGCCCCUGCGGGAUACAGAGAUUUGGAGGGAAUCUCCUCCCUCAUUUUAACUUUCUCUCCCAUCUCAGCCCCAGAUUGUGAAGUUGGCACGAGCCCAGCUCAUAAUGGAUAGACCUAUGGCUGACUAUGAGAAAAGGUGUCUGAAGGAUGGCCCAGAUAGCAAAACAAAUAAGCCAGUAAGCAAACAAAUGGGGGAGCCCUGGAGUUGGACCGCCUGUCUAUAAAUCCAGGCUCUGCUACCUACUCGAUGUGGGAUGAUCCUGUGGACAUUGCUUAGUUUUUUACCACCUUACUGGGUUCAUUUAUAAAAGGUAUCCUAAUGUAAAGUACUACAGGAGAUUAAAACAAAAAACUCACCAGCAACUAUAGUAGUAUGCCAGUACUUUCUCAUCAUGGAUUACAUAAGAUGAUAGUAUGUGACAAAAAUGUGCAUCUUAGAAUUGGAGAAAUAUGGUAAUAUAUAUUUCGUUUGGCUUUUCUGAUGAUUAAAGAGUUGUUAAGGCCAGGUGCAGUGGCUUGCAUCUGUGAUCCUGGCACCUCAGGAGGCCGAGGUGGGAAGAUAGCUUGAGCCUAGGAGUUCAAGACCAGCCUGGGAAACAUAAUGAAAGCCUG
rnacentral:lncRNA from 1 species